rnacentral:misc_RNA from 1 species
GAGAGUUAACUAAACUCCCACACCCAUGUGAACGUACCUUGCGUUGCCUCGGCAGGCCCCAGUGGUUUGCCGGCGGCCUACACAAACUCUGUUUACUAUUGUCUUCUGAACCAAUAACUAAAUAAGUUA